GGAAGCUGCCGGACGCCGCCGGCCGCCGGAACUCCGAUCCAAGCCCAAAUUUCCAGAUUUUCUUCUCUUCAUUCCCUCUUCCCAUUUCUUCAACCAAAAUCAUGAAAUUAAUUUGGCCAUUUAAUCCUCCAAAAACCCUAGAACCCUAAGCUAAUUUGGGGGUUUUUGUGAUUUCUUCAUUCCAAGUUCAAAUCAAGGUAAUCUCCCUCCUAAUGUAGCCUCUAUUCAUCUGAUCUAUACCUAUUUCUUCCUAAAUCCGAGUUUUUGAUUUUGAUUUGUGAUUUUGAUGCAUGAACCCGAUUUUCCCUAAAUCAAGAGGCUAGGCUACGGGUUUGGCAAGGAUUUGUGGUGAAGAAGGCCAAGGAGGAGGAAUAGGCCGUGAGUUUUGAAGAAGAAAGGGGAAGGAAUGGGUUUUGGACAAACUCUAGAAUUUUUGGAAUUUGUUUGGUUAAUUUUGAUUUUGUUGAGCUAUUGUUGUUGUUGGAAAAAUUGUGAAAAUUAGAUCUUUGAGGAGGGUUUAAUUAGUAGAAUUUUAUUAGCCUA